GAUGAACGCUGGCGGCGUGCUUAACACAUGCAAGUCGAACGGAAAGGCCCAAGCUUGCUUGGGUACUCGAGUGGCGAACGGGUGAGUAACACGUGGGUGAUCUGCCCUGCACUUCGGGAUAAGCCUGGGAAACUGGGUCUAAUACCGGAUAGGACCACUUCUUGGAUGUUGUGGUGGAAAGUUUUUUCGGUGUGGGAUGAGCUCGCGGCCUAUCAGCUUGUUGGUGGGGUAAUGGCCUACCAAGGCGUCGACGGGUAGCCGGCCUGAGAGGGUGUACGGCCACAUUGGGACUGAGAUACGGCCCAGACUCCUACGGGAGGCAGCAGUGGGGAAUAUUGCACAAUGGGCGCAAGCCUGAUGCAGCGACGCCGCGUGGGGGAUGACGGCCUUCGGGUUGUAGACUCCUUUCGCUAGGGACGAAGCGUUUUGUGACGGUACCUGGAGAAGAAGCACCGGCUAACUACGUG
rnacentral:rRNA from 1 species